rnacentral:rRNA from 1 species
UACGAAGGGGGCUAGCGUUGUUCGGAAUUACUGGGCGUAAAGCGCACGUAGGCGGAUUCGUAAGUCAGGGGUGAAAUCCCGGGGCUCAACCUCGGAACUGCCUUUGAUACUGCGGAUCUCGAGUCCGAUAGAGGUGGGUGGAAUUCCUAGUGUAGAGGUGAAAUUCGUAGAUAUUAGGAAGAACACCGGUGGCGAAGGCGGCUCACUGGUCCGGUACUGACGCUGAGGUGCGAAAGCGUGGGGAGCAAACAGG